CAAGAAAUGACGGCGUGGUUCUUUCACGCAAGACGUCCACACAAGACACCUGUACUUCACGUAGUAAUUCAAGCCUCCAGACAGGCGUGGGUUCUGGGGCUCGAUCUCUGGGUCUGUAGCUCAGGUGGUUAGAGCGCACCCCUGAUAAGGGUGAGGCCGGUGGUUCGAGUCCACCCAGACCCACCAUUACCAAGUUUCCUUGGGGCCUUAGCUCAGCUGGGAGAGCACUUGCUUUGCAAGCAGGGGGCCGUCGGUUCGAUCCCGACAGGCUCCACCAAGGUUUGAGUCAUAUCGUGAAGUAUCAGCACACACAAGAUUUUUGAAAUCACCCGGCAUUGAGGCCGGUGUGAUGUUCUUUGAAAACAAAGUAAACGAGUGACAAGCGUCUUGGUUCGAACCGAACCGAGACAAGUGUUAAGGCAAGUAACGAAGUGGUUUGGAGAUGUAAUCCUGAGGCGACUUGGGGUUAUAUG
rnacentral:misc_RNA from 1 species